AGUCCAUGAUCGGGACACAACCUCAAUAAUUCUUUAAAUCUAUCCUAGGUGUCACAUAAAAACUCUCCUUUUUUUGAGCGAAAUUAGUGAUCUGGUUCCUAAAUU